CAUACCGUGGGCAGAUUAGCUUUCCCAACAUCUCCAUCAAGGAGCCGGUUGCUUGUGCGCCUCGCUCUCUCUCUCUCUCUCCCCUCCUCUCUCUCUCUCUCCACCCUGCCCUCCAGGUGGCGGAGGUUUGUCUUUUUCUCUCUUGCUAGGUUAAGAUGUUGCUAUGAUCUUUAUCUGAAGUUGGGGUGCUUUGUGUCUGGGUGAACCUAAGUGAUCACCGACGUAGUAGCAAUUGGGGGAUGAUAGAAUCAUUUUGGUUUGUUGGAAGGAAAGGAUUUCUAAAUUUUGGUAUCACAGCUAUCAACAAAAUAUCUAUUUAUUUCAGUUGAGGAAGGAGGGAGGAGAAAUAUAGAAUGAAGAACAUAUCAUUAUUUCAAUUGUUGCAGUAAAAACAAGAUUAUAUUUUUUGAUUUAAAAAAUCUCUAGCAUGAUAGGCAUCAAUGAGGCUAUUCUUGUCAUUGGACGUGAGAUCAUACUUAGGCCGGUAGGUGUUCAAUAUGGUGGUGUGGUUGGUUUUCCUCCAAACUAUAGGUAAGAAAAAAAUUGAGGCUAAGGAUCUAGAGAUGUAGCUAUCAGAGUGCCUCGAUCGCAAGACUGAUCUAAAAAGAAUUUUUUUAUUGAAAUUUUUUCAAUUAUGAUCAUUCGAUGCUUAAAUUAAUCGGAAUCUAUGGAACCGAAGAGAGAAAAUAGGAAGUGAGUGGUAGGAGUAGUCGAAUGAGAAGAUUUUAUUUAUUUAUUUAUUUAUAAAGGGAGAUUAGUGUUCAUUAUUGAGAUAGAUGGAGUUUGGAUCAACUAUUUAGCAACUACUUUCAUCGUGUGAUAAUUGUUUGAUCACAGAUUUUCAUAUCACAAUAUGGUUAUAACUGUUGGAUCAUACAAUCAUGAUUGCAUGGACGCAACUAUCAUCAAGAUUAUGGUGUUGACAUGAACAUGCCCUUCAAUUUGUCAUGAUAAGGUGAAUGAAGUUGGGCAUCAUCAUGGUUACAUCAUUUCGACUCAUCUUGAGGUCAAACAAAUAAUUAUUUGUACAUCGUUUUAGGAUAUGUCAUCUUAUUUUUUGCUCCUAUUUUUCUAUUUUUUUAAAAAAAAAUUAUCUUAUUUUUUGAAAACCUUACAAGUAUGAUGGUGUCCCGUCCACGAAGAAGAUUUCAUCGUGAAAGACCUCAUGGUGAGAGUAUGGCAGUAAAAAGACUUCAAAAUAUAUCCGCAUUGCCGUUGAGCUCUUUCUAUCACAUCGGUAAAAAUUGAUAUUGACAUUGAACAGGGUUUAAUCAUGGUGCACUGAUAAGUGGAGGAGGUGAGAGUGAGGAAGCCCUUGCUGAGGUGAUCCGAUCCCAAUGGUUUUCUACCUUGAGAGCUCCGCGGUGCAGCGGAUCACAUCGUGGGACACGAGCACACGCGGUUGGUUACCAAGGCUAGCGGAUCCAAAUGGUUUUAUCGUGACAAGUAAAAAGGGUCGGGUGGCGUGUAUGACAGCGAUGGCGUCCGACAGGAUGCCGCACAGCCUCGUGGACCAACCGAAAGAGGACGCGUGUCGGUAGGAGGCAGCCGUUCGUCGCCCAUGGCCGGGGAGGUCUCUGUCGUGUAGCGUGGGUGCACGUGGCAGGCCGUGGGGGCAUUCGGGCACGCUGUCCCGGUCAACGUCUCCGCGGUUGGUGCCGGGUCCCGCUCGCCCUUCGUCUUCUUCUCGGUGAUGUCGGCCCACGCGGCACUCCCCGUUUUCAAGAUCUGGAGGGACUCAUCAGGAAGUCUCAAAGGGGGAUCUCAAAGGGUCCUUGGCUUGUUUAAGACUAGAUUCUCAUGAUUUUUACAUGAACGAAAAUUGCAUCACUACAAAAAUCACUUGAGCCAAUCUUUUGAGAGUUGAACUUUUUUUUUUAUGGUAG
rnacentral:lncRNA from 1 species